AGAGUUUGAUCCUGGCUCAGAACGAACGCUGGCGGCAGGCUUAAUACAUGCAAGUCGAGCGGUCUCUUUCGAGAGACAGCGGCGGACGGGUUAGUAACGCGUGGGAACGUGCCCUUUAGUACGGAAUAGCCAUUGGAAACGAUGAUUAAUACCGUAUACGCCCUAUGGGGGAAAGAUUUAUCGCUAAAGGAUCGGCCCGCGUUAGAUUAGGUUGUUGGUGGGGUAAUGGCCUACCAAGCCUACGAUCUAUAGCUGGUUUGAGAGGAUGAUCAGCAACACUGGGACUGAGACACGGCCCAGACUUCUACGGAAGGCAGCAGUAGGGAAUCUUGGACAAUGGGCGAAAGCCUGAUCCAGCCAUGCCGCGUGAGUGAUGAAGGCCCUAGGGUUGUAAAACUCUUUCGCCAGGGAAGAUAAUGACAGUACCUGGUAAAGAAACCCCGGCUAACUCCGUGCCAGCAGCCGCGGUAAUACGGAGGGGGUUAGCGUUGUUCGGAAUUACUGGGCGUAAAGCGCACGUAGGCGGACUAGUCAGUCAGAGGUGAAAUCCCGAGGCUCAACCUCGGAACUGCCUUUGAUACUGCUAGUCUAGAGUUCGAG
rnacentral:rRNA from 1 species